UAAUGUAUGGGGAUCUGCCCGAUAGAGGGGGAGAACUACUGGAAACGGUGGCUAAUACCGCAUAAUGUCUACGGACCAAAGCAGGGGCUCUUCGGACCUUGCACUAUCGGAUGAACCCAUAUGGGAUUAGCUAGUAGGUGGGGUAAAGGCUCACCUAGGCGACGAUCUCUAGCUGGUCUGAGAGGAUGAUCAGCCACACUGGGACUGAGACACGGCCCAG
rnacentral:rRNA from 1 species